rnacentral:lncRNA from 1 species
UUAUUGAUGACUAUAUCCAUACAUGAUGUGAUUUUUGGAUGUCUUGAUAUAUGCCUGAUUUGCUUGAAUAAAACAAAUGUUGUGUGCUACAUUUCUACACUAACUUUUAUGUUUUAUGAUAGCACUUGAAGAGCGGUUCAGGUACGCACCUUAACUCUCCUUUAUUGCAAUUUGAUUGUGUUUGGCAUGCCACUCUCUAAAAUCACCUAGCCUAUGUAGGUAUCUAUAAUUAACGGAUUAAU